rnacentral:piRNA from 1 species
UACAGACAUGAACUAAAACUUAAU